rnacentral:piRNA from 1 species
AUGCUGUGCAAGGUUACAAAGAUGGC